GUGCCAGCAGCCGCGGUAAGACAGAGGUGGCAAGCGUUGUUCGGAAUUACUGGGCUUAAAGGGCGCGUAGGUGGUGAUAUAAGUCCGAGGUGGAAGACUGGGGCUUAACCUCAGAAUUGCCUUGGAUACUGUAUGACUUGAGUCAGCGAGGGGAUGGCGGAAUUCCAGGUGUAGCGGUGAAAUGCGUAGAUAUCUGGAGGAAGGCCGGUGGCGAAGGCGGCCAUCUGGCGCUGAACUGACACUGAGGCGCGAAAGCGUGGGGAGCAAACAGGAUUAGAAACCCGCGUAGUCC
rnacentral:rRNA from 1 species